rnacentral:rRNA from 1 species
UACGGAGGGUGCGAGCGUUAAUCGGAAUUACUGGGCGUAAAGGGUGCGUAGGUGGUUAACUAAGUUAUGUGUGAAAUCCCCGGGCUCAACCUGGGCAUUGCAGAUAAGACUGGUAGACUAGAGUAUGGGAGAGGGUAGUGGAAUUUCCGGUGUAGCGGUGAAAUGCGUAGAUAUCGGAAGGAACAUCAGUGGCGAAAGCGACUUCCUGGACCAAUACUGACGCUCAUGUGCGAAAGCGUGGGGAGCAAACAGG